rnacentral:rRNA from 1 species
UCGGGAAUUUUGGGCAAUGGGCGAAAGCCUGACCCAGCAACGCCGCGUGAAGGAUGAAGUAUUUCGGUAUGUAAACUUCGUAAGAAUAGGAAGAAUAAAUGACGGUACUAUUUGUAAGGUCCGGCUAACUACGUGCCAGCAGCCGCGGUAAUACGUAGGGACCAAGCGUUGUUCGGAUUUACUGGGCGUAAAGGGCGCGUAGGCGGCAAUUCAAGUCAUCUGUGAAAUCUCCGGGCUUAACUCGGAACGGUCAGAUGAUACUGCUUUGCUAGAGUGCAGAAGGGGCAAUCGGAAUUCUUGGUGUAGCGGUGAAAUGCGUAGAUAUCAAGAGGAACACCUGAGGUGAAGACGGGUUGCUGGGCUGACACUGACGCUGAGGCGCGAAAGCCAGGGGAGCAAACGGGAUUAGAUACCCAGGUAGUCCCUGAGCGGGCUGGCAAGGCGCAU